CGCAGGUUCGGGUCUCACGUAGUGAGACAACGGAGCCGUUUACGGCGACGGCCCGAAGGGCGAGCGAAGCGAGUCAUCCUGCACGACCCACCA
rnacentral:sRNA from 1 species